rnacentral:tRNA from 1 species
CGGAGUAUAGCGCAGUUGGUAGCGCGCCUGCUUUGGGAGCAGGAUGCCCCAGGUUCGAGCCCUGGUACUCCGACCA